GUGAUUUUCUGGUGAAGGAAAGGUGAGAGCCAGGGAAAGGGACCUUGGACACCUAAAUGCUACAAAAACGCCCUUUGGAAGUGGGAUUGAGGAGUCAGCAGCCACGAGUGCCGCGUACCCGGUUCAGCAAAAGGCGUAACUCUCCUCCUGGCUGAGCUGUUGGCGUCUGUAACCCUGUCCCACGUCGUACGUGACAAGUGCUGAGUGGUUGCACCGGUAUCGAUGGGUACGAAUUUACGCAGGACGAAGCGUUCAUGGGUGUUUUAAUUGGUCUUGGAUUCUUGAGUGCUGGUAAAGGCUGAGACAAAAUGUGACGCCCAAGUUAGAGCAGCUGCUGCAAGAAAUCGAACCAGGUCAGGAUAUGAGCAGAGAUUUAGAAAACCUGACCAGCAAGUCUGCCUGCCUACAAACUGCUGGCCCCGCGUUGGUGCCAGCCUGCGCGGUUGUGCCCGGGAAGCCGAUGCUCUCCCCCGUGCCAGGGACUGGCUGGUGACCAUGUAAACAGAGUUCCCUCCGGACCGAACCGCCAGGGACUUGGGUCUGUUGCAGCUCCAGCU